UAAAAUCAGUAGCACCAUUUUCAAAGUAAGUUUAACAGAAUUUAUGACGAGGCUUUUAUUAUUAUUAGCAGCCAAAGCGUCUUCACUCCCAAUAAAACAAUGCUCGAACAUUUGCCUAAUAACACGGUGGGUCCUCUCUAAGCAUGGUCUGGGAAAUGUGGGGAGGGCGUAAUCGGCAUUUCCUAAACGAGAAAUUGCCGUCUUCAUCCCACGCCUUACCUUGCACGUCUUCGUUUUCUUUGCUAUAUAAUAACAUGCAUACAUACACCCACUCUCCCUCUCACACUAAAGUUCUCUCUUCACUUCACCCCACAACCCCACUCUCUCUCACCUCUUUUUCUCUCUCUAGAAUCCAGAACGACAAGAGACUCGAUGUCUCAACGUGGCCGAGGCCGAGGCCGCCAUUACGACCAGUCGUCUGGCUCCGACGCCCCGUCGUUUCAUCGCGGCGGAGGUGGCGGAAGACGCGGUAGAGGACGAGACGGCGGUGUUCCACCGUCGUUUCCGUCCGAAUCGGGUCCCAGCCAGCGCGGCCGAGGUAGAGCUGGCGGUUCUGGCGUCGUCGCUCCGGCGCCGUCUCAAACUCACGCUCCUCAACCGCCGGCUCAAGCUUACGCUCCUCCUCCGCCGGCUCAAGCUUACGCUCCUCCUCCGCCGGCUCAAGCUUACGCUCCUCCUCCGCCGGCUACGGUUCAGGCUUCGUCCAGUUCGGCUUCUCCGUCUCCGCUGAUAGCUGAGAUGGAGCAGAAGCUAACAUUGACGACACCUCCACCGUCGUCGUCCAAGGCCGUUAGACUUCCGGGGAGGCCAGGAUUUGGGACGCUUGGGACCCGGAUUCAAGUGAGGGCCAACCACUUCUUGGUGGAGG
rnacentral:lncRNA from 1 species